rnacentral:lncRNA from 1 species
CCAAACUCUGGAGGUUAAACUCUGUAGAUCACACCUGGCCUAUACACUGUAUGUAGUCUACAUGCUUUGCGAAGAGGUAUGGAUACAAGUAUAGAAGGACCAAGUCUUUGUAUGGGAGACAAGGAUAUGCUAGUUGGGAAACAGGUAGUAGCAGACCUAAGGGACUGACUGGAAGGAGUGUGUCUCUGUUGGUAGAACAUGAUGCUUGCAACGCCAGGGUUGUGGGAACAGUACGAACAUUUAUGCAAUCACUACUGUAAGUCGCUCUGGAUAAUAGCAUCUGCUAAAUUACUCAUUUGUUAUUUCUUUUUUAUGUAAAAAAUGAAAGGAAUGGGUAGGCCUUCUUUCUGGCUAGGAGACAAACCGAGGAAGACCGGUAUGCCUACUUGGAGACAAUGCAAGGAGGACAGCUACUGUAGCUGGCUAGGGACCGCCUGAAAGAGACAGGUAGCUACUGUAGCUGGCUAGGGACCGCCUGAAAGAGACAGGUAGCUACUAUAGCUGGCUAGGGACCGCCUGAAAGAGACAGGUAGCUACUGUAGCUGGCUAGGGACCGCCUGAAAGAGACAGGUAGCUACUGUAGCUGGCUAGGGGACUGAGAGGAUGAGUUACAGUAAUGUAACUGAUGUCAUCCUGUUAAUCACGUCUGCCUGGCCAAACAGCCCUGCGGGUACAGACUGUAGUGUGUGUACAGCCAAGCUGUUCCCACGACCCAGAGGUCAAAGGACAUGCUCAGAGUCGGCGCCAGGCAGAGACCAGCCAGAUAGACGACCUUGCCGCGCACACUUACACACACACACACACACACACACACACACACAC